GGGCCAAAGGCUACGCAGCGACGCCGCGUGGGGGAUGACGCUUUUCGGAGUGUAAACCCCUGUUGCCCGGGACGAACCGCCUUUUUCGAGAGGCCUGACGGUACCGGGUGAGGAAGCACCGGCUAACUCCGUGCCAGCAGCCGCGGUAAUACGGAGGGUGCGAGCGUUGUCCGGAAUCACUGGGCGUAAAGGGCGCGUAGGCGGUGGGGGCAGUCUGUGGUGAAAGCUCGUGGCUCAACUGCGAGUCGGCCAUGGAUACUCCUUCACUCGAGCACUGUAGAGGCAGGUGGAAUUCCGGGUGUAGCGGUGGAAUGCGUAGAGAUCCGGAAGAACACCGGUGGCGAAGGCGGCCUGCUGGGCAGUAGCUGACGCUGAGGCGCGACAGCGUGGGGAGCAAACAGGAUUAGAUACCCUGGUAGUCCACGCCGUAAACGAUGGGUACUAGGUGCUUGGGGGAGCGACCCCCUGAGUGCCGGCGCUAACGCAUUAAGUACCCCGCCUGGGGAGUACGGCCGCAAGGCUGAAACUCAAAGGAAUUGACGGA
rnacentral:rRNA from 1 species